rnacentral:lncRNA from 1 species
UUCGUAAACCUCCAAGAAUCCACGCUGUGGAUGGGAGCAAGUUUUACACGGCCCCACGGUGGGCGCCUGAUGAUCCUGCCUGUUGACCGGAACGCUGGAGAAUGCCUCGUCAAGGGAUCGCCGUGCGCACCGCUUCUCACCUCCGUUCCUUUCCGGGAUCUGCUUCAAGAACCUGCAAAGAAACAACACGGUGCCGCUGCGGCCGAUCGCACUCCGACGCUCAAGUCAGUGGCGGUAUCACCAAAUACUAAGAACGAGAACCGUGCAAAUCCUUUCUCACAAUCAGCUCUGUCACUCGCAAGCGUAAAGUGUAUGAACUGAACGUGCGUACCUCAGAAAGUUUGUUAAGAGCUCUUAUAUACCUGGUGGCUUUCUCUCUCCUGGCAGUUACAGACUUGGACACGUGGCUCGUAUCCAACUGUACACGUGCCAUCAUCUGGAGGCCCCCUGACUUGGCGCUGCUUCUACUCUCAUUUUGGCUAAGUUACUUAUGCAUGGUACUGCCCAGUGCAUAGCUAACUUAGGAGUGCGAUCUCUACUGGAACUGGCGAGUUAGGGCUUUCAUACACCUUCCCUGUGGUCUCGCCGGCCGCCUUCAUAACCUGCUGCUUCUCCUUCAUCUUCGGCGAUGAGCUUGCUCUGGCGAUCGCCAACGUCUAGGUCGCCUGAAUCUACAUCUGCCGACUUGAUCUUUAACCUGGCGAUCGCCUAUCCUGAUAAGCUGGAAAUCGGAACACGCCAACUUAACAACUGGCGACUACACGUGCCUCCCGACCUCCUUCCUUUCUGCCAACCUGGCGCCUUGCCAACACGCCUACACUGUAGCAGGAUGCCACGUCAUCACACCCGACCACCAGGGCGGUACAGUUAAAUAUCAAGAUUCCAAAGUGUCUUGAUAGAAGUUGGCAGCCCAAGGUGAUUGCAAUCAUAAAAUCCAGAGAUUUAUCAAAGCUUUCCACUGCUGCACUAUUCAGGAAACUUAAAGAACAUGAGUUAGAGCUCAACAGAUUGAAUGAGCAAGAAUAAGUGGAAAGGAAAAUCAAAAGCAUUGCUCUGAAGACCAGUGUGUAAAAUGAAAUGAGUGAAGAAGAAGAAAAUUCAGGACAAGAUGAAACUCUGAGUCUUCUCACUAGAAAAUUUAGCAGGUUCAUGAAAAAGAAAAGUCGAGAAAGAACACAACCAAAGAAGAGGUACUCUAAACUUAAUGAAUCUAAUUCCUCUAAUUACACUUGCUUUGGCUGCGACAAAUCAGUUCAUAUAAAAGUUGAUUGUCCAAACAAUCAAAACAAGGAUAAACAAGCCAACAAGAAGGUUGAAAGAAGUAGAGGCAAAAGGGCAUAUAUCUCCUGGGAAGAUAAUGAAGUAUCUUCAUCAGGUGACCCAUCAACUGAAAGUGAAGAAACAAACCUGUGCUUUUUGGUGAACAAUGAAGAAUCAAGCUAUGAUUCGAUUAGUAAUUACUCAACUGAUUCAGAAAGCUAUGAUCAACUGUUAAUUACAUUUAAAGAAACCCAUGAUGAAGCAAAUAAUCAACUUGAACCAAAGGUUAAAUCAUUAGAAAAGGAAUUGUUUGAAGCUAAAACAAAGUUGGUUAACCUUGAAUUAACAUGUAUACAUGUUUCUAUUAAAACAUGUGAAAAUUGUAAGGGUUUACAAAAGGAGGUUAAGUAUAUGUUAAAAACUUUGUCUAAUUUCACUAAGGGUAGGGAAAACCUUGAAACGCUCUUAGGGUCACAAAAUAUUAUCUUUAAUAGGAAUGGGAUAGGAUACAAUUUAGGAAGAAAGAACAAUGUUAAAAUGUUGUCAAGUUUUUUUGUUCCUACAAAGACAGGUUUUUCUUCUUUCAACAGUUUCAAAUCAAAGUACUUUAUCUCUUGUUUUUACUGUAUGAAAUUAGGUCACACAUCUAGAACAUGUAAGUUUAGGAAUUAUCUUGUUCCAAAAUGAUUAGUCAAAUGGCUUCCUAAGGAAAGGUGAUAAUUGGUUGGAGCCAAUACUAAAGGGUAUCAUAUGUAUAGACUUUCCUUUUGCAGAAAAAUGGCAUGAAAUCAAACAAUUUUGACAGUGGUUGCUCCAAACAUAUGACUGGUGACCUUACUUAAUUCACAUAUUUUGAAGCUUAAAGCAUAAGGGCAUGUAACCUAUAGGGACAACAACCGUGGAAGGAUCCUAGAAAGAGGAAAUGUUGGAACCAAAGGAUCAACAUUAAUAGAGAAUGUGUUAUAUGUGGAAGGAAUGAAACAUAGUCUUCUAAGCAUCAGUCAACUGUGUGACAAAGAUUACAAAGUUAAUUUGAAACCAAUAUGUGUACAAUUUCAAAUGAAGUCACUGGUAAGGUGAUAUUCACAGGUAAAAGGGUAAAUAAUAUCUAUCUCCUAGAUAUCAUGCAUAACUAUUCUGUAAAUGAGUUCCUUUUAUCAAAGGAUGAUGAGUCAUGGUUAUGGCAUAGGAGAUUAGCCUGCAUUCAUACGAAUCAUUUAAACAAAUUAAAAACUAAAGAGCUUGUUUCUAGUUUACCAAAUAUAAAAUUCCAAGAUAACAGAUUGUGUGAUGCAUGUGUGAAGGGUAAGCAAACAAGAGUCUCUUUUAAACAAAAGAAUGUAAUUUCUUCAAAUAAACCAUUGGACGUCUUGCAUAUGGAUUUGUUUAGGCCUUCCAGAAAUGCUAGCUUAGCUGGAAACUUUUAUGCUUUGGUGAUUGUGGAUGAUUUCUCGAGAUAUACUUGGACUUUAUUUUUAGUCUCUAAGAAUGAUGCCUAUGAAACUUUCAAGAAAUUGCCUAAAAUAUUGUAAAAUGAAAAUGGUUGCAACAUAAAAUCCAUUCGAAGUGAUCAUAGGGGGAAUUUCAAAAUGCUAGAUUUGAUAAGUUUUGUGAAAAGCAUGGUAUCACACAUAGUUUUCAUCCCCUAUGACUCCUUAACAAAACGGUGUGGUAGAAAGGAAAAAUAAAUCAUUAGAGGAACUAGCCAGAACUAUGUUAAACGAAUCAAAUCUCCAUAAAUAUUUAUGGGUUGAUGCUAUAUACAUUGCUUCAUAUGUGUAAAACAAAAUUUUGAUUAGGCCAAUUCUAAAGAAAACUCCUUAUGAAAUUUAUAAAGGUAGAAAGCCUAAUAUAAGCCAUCUUAGAGUUUUUGGGUGCAAAUGUUUUGUGUUGAAUAAUGGAAAAGAUGAUCUCAGAAAAUUUGAUCCUAAAUCUGAUUAGGGUAUCACAUUAGUUAUGCUAUAAAUGGACAUGCUUACAAGGUUUACAAUAAAAGAUUACUAAUUGUGGAUGAAUCUAUUCAUGUUGUGUUUAAUGAAUCUGAUAAUUACUUACUUAAACCUAUUGUGGAUGCACUUGAAGCAAAUGAUUUAAGAACUGUACUUCAAAAGAAUCAAUUGAUUGAUUCAAAUACAAUUGAUUCAAGUGCUUCCAAAGAACCUGCUGUGACAACAGAAUUGCCCUGAGAAUGGAAAACUCCUAAGGACUUGACACUUGAGAAUGUGAUAGGUACAUUGAGAAAGGAGUUUCAACUAGGAAUUCUCUAAAUAAUUUCUGUGAAAUGAUGGCUUUUGUCUCACAAAUGGAACCCAAAAAUCUGAAUGAAGCUCUACAAGACAACAACUGGAUUUUGGCUAUGCAAGAAGAGUUAAAUCAGUUUACAGGGAAUGAGGUAUGGUCUCUGGUUCCAAGAACAUUCGAGAUGAAUAUAAUAGGUACUAAGUGGGUAUAUAAAAACAAAAUGGAUGAACAUGGGAUCAUCACAAGAAACAAAGCAAGGUUGGUGGCCAAAGGUUAUAACCAAGAAGAAGGAAUCGAUUAUGAAGAGACCUAUGUUCCGAUGGCAAGGGUAGAAGUUGUCAUACUUCUCCUAGCUUUCUCAUGCAUAAAGGGAUUCAAACUAUUUCAAAUGGAUGUCAAGAGCGCCUUUCUGAAUAGUUAUACAAAUGAAGAAGUCUUUGUUUCAUACCCACCUGGUUUUGAGGAUCAUAAAUUUCUAAACCAUGUGUUCAAACUCAAAAAGGCUCUAUAUGGUCUCAAACAAGCACCUAGGAAAUGGUAUGAAAGACUGAGAAAUUUAUUACUAUCACAAGGCUAUAAAUAUGGUACAUCCGAAAAGACCUUAUUCAUUAAGAAAAAUGGUGAAGAUAUUAUACUUGUACAAGUAUAUGUGGAUGAUAUCAUUUUUGGUUCAACAAAUGAGAGUUUAUGUGAAACAUUUGUAAAGGUCAUGAAGAUCAAAUUUGAGAUGUCUAUGAUGGGAGAGCUGAAUUAUUUCCUUGGCCUGCAAGUUAAAUAGCUAAAAGAUGGGAUCUUUAUAAAUCAAGAAAAUACUGCAAGGACCUUUUGAAGAAAUUUGAGAUGGAUCAGUGCAAAGCAAUCAACAUCUAUUUCUACAAGUUGUCAUCUUGAUCAAGACCCUGCUGGAAAACCGGUUGAUCAAACUAAGUUCAGAUGUUUAAUUUGUUCUUUAUUGUAUCUAACAGCUAGUAGACCUGAUAUAAUGUUUGCUAUUUGUAUGUGUGCCAGGUUCCAAUCUGCACCCAAGGAGUCACAUCUCAAUGCUGCUAAAAGAAUUUUGAAGUACUUACAAGGAAGCAAAGAAGUUGGUCUAUGGUAUCCAUGUAAUGUGUCUUUAAGUUUUAUUGGUUUUUCUGACUCAGAUUUUGCAGGUUGUAAAAUAGACAGAAAAAGCACAAGUGGAACAUGUCAUAUGCUUGGGUCAAGUUUAAUAUCUUGGCAUUGCAAAAAACAAGUGUGUGUAGCUUUAUCCACAGCUGAGGCAGGAUACAUUGUUGCAGGAAGUUGUUGUGUCCAAACUCUAUGGUUAAAACAACAGCUAAUUGACUUUGGUAUUGUGUUAAGUAAAAUACCUCUCUUAUGUGAUAAUACUAGUGUUAUUAACUUGACUAAAAAUCCAAUUAUGCACUAUAGAACUAAACAUAUAGAGAUAAGGCGUCAUUUUCUACGUGAACACAUUGCGAAUGGGAAUUGUGAAAUUAAAUUCAUAAGAACUAAACUACAGCUAGCUGAUCUAAUCACAUUCUUGCAAAAGAAAGGUUUAAUUUCUUAAGAAACGAAUUAGGCAUAAUAAGCUUGAACUGCUAUCUGCAAUAAAACUAUAAUUUUUUACUUGUUGGUUUAACAUGUUGUUUAUCUGGUCCAGGAUCACAUGCAUGAUUAGGAAAGAGAAACAUUUUUUUUCUGACCUUUGACUGACAUUAAGGGGUGGUUAUUGACCAACAGAUUUAUGAUAGCAUUGUUUAGGAAAUCCUAACUGAAAAAAUGCAUUGAUUGGUUUGUAUGAUUCAAAUUGAAAAUUGGUUUCCUAAUAUAUUCUUCCUCUUUUCGAAAUGGUACAACCCUGCACACAAUAGAAUAAUAUUUGUACUGCAUAUCUUCCAUGACAUUUUCUCCAGCUUCUCACUCCACCUUUUGAACCUUUUUUUUCUAUAUAAAUUUGUGUUUGAACAAAUUGCUCACUUCACUUAACUACAUUAAAAACUCUCUCUUACUAUCCAGGUUAUUUCUUCUCUCUGUGACUUCUCUAUCAGCACUACACUGAUAGUGUUUCAUUUCUUUAUUCUCUAACAUAGUUUCUAGCACUUCUCUCUAUUAUGUACAGACAAGUAGCAUUAGAAUGGCCUCCUCCUCACUCAAGAAAAGAAUAGUCCCAGAGCAAUCCAACAAUAACCAUGGUGUGCUCGAAAAUUGGUUUGCUGGUGAUGUAGAAGCAAUGACAACCUUCAUGCAUGAGAUGAGCAAAAAGCAUAUCAACAUUCUGAAGGUACUAGAAAUCUCUUGGUUGAAAAGAGAAAACUUGGAAGAACCAAGAGUUGUGCUGAAACAUCAAAGGCUGAAACACUUAUUGGAAAUGACCGAGAACAUAUAUCCUGAUUUGAUAAAGGUCUUCUACACAAAUAUCACUCUGGAUGGGCGAAAUCUAGUUUCAUAUGUCAUGGGUGUCAAGCUACCAUUUCAAAUCAUGUAUGUAGCAACAUAGAAGGAAUAAAGUGCUAUGUAUUGAAGGUAAGCAAAGGGAACACUGUUGGAAUUCAGGAAUUCAACAAAAUCCAGUUUUACAGAAGUUGUGUAAGGAACCUUGCUCUGUCUGAAAAUCGGUUCCAUGCAUGUAAUCUAAAUGUAACCCCUCGUUUCCUGGCUUACAUCAUUGCAUGGAAACUCACACCAAGAGGUAAUAAUCAUGUUGUUCUUCGUGAGGAAGAUUUAAUUCUCAUGUAUUGCAUAAUGAACUGAAUCAAAAUCAAUUGGGUCUGCAUUAUGAUGGAACACAUGUUGAAAUCCAUAAGACUUACUGAUUAUAAAUUUCCAUAUGCUAUUUUCAUUUCCAAACUAAUUGAUUAUUUUGAGGUGGACACUUCUGGUGAGAGGAAUGAGACCAUUGGGGCUGUUAAUGAGAUAGAUAGGUCUACUCUCACCAAAAUGGGUUUUCAAAAGGAGGAGAAUGGAUGGGUGAAUACAGCUCCAAGAGUGGAACAUGAAGGAUUUAAUCAUGGCAAUCAAGAUGAAGGGCACAAUGGUGGAAGCUGCAGAAGCAUCAUGCUCUGAGAUGCACAACUUCUCUCCUCAUGGAAUACACUAAGGAACUCCUGUUUCAUCCAUGUAUGAGGAGUAUUUUGCAAAUGAUAUGAAUGCUCUCAUUGCAUAUCAAGAACCUGAGUACCGUGGUGAACCAUUAUCCAUCUUUGAAAGGCAUGUUUUGUAUCGAAUGGACACACUAUCUGCAGAUCAAAUAGCAUACUUUGAGAUGACAUAAGCAAGGUUUCAGAACUUGGAUCAUUAGAUUGAAGGUGUCCAGGAGCAAAUGAUAGAACUUUGUUAUAGGGAGAAAUAAUUUUCUCUAUCGAUUUGGGAAUUGUUUAAAUCUGAACUGUGUUUUAUGAUUCUUGCACAAAUUUUAUUUUUUUUCCCUGCACUGGUUUUGUUUUGGACUGUAAUGUGCUUAAGCACUUUGAAUUUUUUUAAAACUAUUCUGCUUGUAUGUUCAUUGGUGUUUGUUUAUUUAUAUGUGCCCUAAUUAUGUUUGAUGAAAACAAAGGUCCUUUGUUGGAAGAUAUUUUGUUUUGUUUUGUAUUGUCAAAAUGCAGGUGAUAUAGAACUGGUUGUGAGUCUUCCUUCAAAAAUGGAGAUUUGUCUCCAUCAAACAAUGGGAGACUGUUGGGAUAAGUGAAUAUUCUACUCAACUUUCAUGAAGAAAUGUUUGAUGAAGACAACUUGUUUGAAGGUGUAUGAAAAAUGUAUUUCAUGGCUUUAGUUAGGUUAGAAUUAUUUAAGUAGUCUUUUGCACUUUGAUUCAACCUCAUUUCAUGGCUUUACAGCACAAAAAUUUAAUCUGUUGCUUAACAAAACAAUUGAUUCAUUGGUACUGCAUCAAAAUUGUUUUGCUUUUUCAAGAUUCUGUUUUGACUCCAAAAUUAUGUUUUGUUCACACUUUCAGUUUUCAACUAAUCAGAAAGUGGUUAUGUAUCACCAAAUGUAUUUUCAAAAUACAACUCGUUCUUUUAAACUUGAAUAUGUUAUUUUAUAACAAUUUUUAACUAUUUUUGGGAAAACUGUUUUGAUUUUAAACCUAUAGAUAAUGAGCUUAAUCUCGGGUCAAAUCACCCCUUGCAACUACAAAGUGUAUAUAGUUUUUGAUGGGUUGAUACCAAGGGCCUCUUCCAUCAGUUUUCAAGUGCUUUUAUUAACUUUUUCAAGUGAUCUUAGUGUUUUGAAAGUUUUUCUUAAAAACUUUUAAGUGUUCUUAUGUUGGUUCUUUUGGCUUGGAAUUCAAGGUUCUGCCAAGUGUUGCAACUGUGAAGGUCCUGGUUUGAACACUUGAGUCUACAAUCAAGGUGUUUCCUUUCCUAAUUAUUUUUUAUUGUAAAAGUGUCUGUGUAUGUUUCUUGAUAGUUUUUCUUAAAGUAGAAAGCUACUGAAAUAGGGGUUUCUUCAGUUUGUGUUUUUGGUUCUUGUAGGUUCAAGAAUUGGAUGGUUUGUAAUCUUUUUGUAAAGAUUGUUGUGGUUCUAGUGGAAUCCAUAUUAGUAUAAGGUAGGACUGGAUGUAGCUCACAUUGAGUGAACCAGUAUAAACCUGUGUGUGCUUCUCUUCUCUCUCAAUCGUUGCAUUCAAAACUGAAAUCUGGAUAUCUGUGAUAAAAUAAAUCUGUUUUUCUAAAAUUGAAUCUGUUGUUUUAACUAUCGUAUUGGCAUAAAUCACAUUCUAUUUUCCAUAUUUUAAUAAGUCUUUAAUCAAUCUUUGAACUUGAGGGAACCUUAAUCUUUGACAGAUUUACUCUUAAAGAUAAGACUUUUAAAAGCAUUCUUGGUUUAAGAUUUGAUAUCCUUGUUUUUGUUCAUAACAGUUCAUUGUAUAAAGAUCAUAAUUGAUAAGUCAUAAAUAAAAUUUGUUGAUUCUAAGUUAAUCUAUUCUAUUCCUGAAACUACUUUCUGAAACCAGGAAAUCAAUAUAUUUUUCUUUAAAUCAAUUUUUUAUUUUUCUGUCAGGAUUUCUUAAGUAGUAUUUUUGCAAAAAUUUCUCUAAGUCCAAUUCACCCCCUGUUAAGCUUAGACUCUCAUAAUCUCAACAAACACAACCCAAAUACAUAAUAAGAAGACUACAAAGAAGUCACUGAAAUUGACUAUCGUCAUCUGCUUUGAGUGAUUAACAAAAUUGGAUAUGAUUCAGUACAAAUCAAAUUUGACACUAAUGUUGCACAAAUGAUCAAUAGUUGAGAAAAUGCUCAAUUCUACACACACGCGUGCAGUGUGAAUAGACAUGGAGCAACAUAUUUAUCUAAACCAAUGAUUUACACAAAACAACUCUCAUGAAUUAAUUCAUGAUUUAGAAAAUAAUACAUAUAUCGACCACCUCGACAUGUAUUUCAUUUAUAAAAAAAAACUAAAUAAAAUUUCAAUUUUUUUACUAUAAAUUAUUUUUUCCUAUCCAUAAUUAUUUAAAAACUACUUUUUCAAAUUUACCAAUAUUUUAUUUAUGUAAUUCAUUAUUCACUAUUCAAUAAUUUCAAUUAUAUCAAAUACUUUCCAUUCGUAUUUUAACAACCUCUCUUUUCUAUUCUUGUUCACAAACUUUUCUUAUUUACAUAUUUUUUUUAAUUUAAAUUUCUUUAAAAUAAUGUACUUGUAAAGAAUUAUUUAUUCAAAACAUUACUUCUCUAAAUUAAUGUAUUAAAUACACUUAUUUUUUUAAAAAAAAUAAUCUACUUUUUACAACUUAAUAAUUUCAGUUAUAUCAAGCACUUUCCAUUAUUUUUUAAAAUUCGUUCUUUUCUAUUUUUUCAUGAUUUUUUCUUAUUUACAUAUUUUUUNNNNNNNNNNNNNNNNNNNNNNNNNNNNNNNNNNNNNNNNNNNNNNNNNNNNNNNNNNNNNNNNNNNNNNNNNNNNNNNNNNNNNNNNNNNNNNNNNNNNUUAACUUUGUUAAGAUUAUUUAGCCUGUAACUUUUCUAAAGUUAAAUUUUUAGUAACUAUGUUUUUAAAUUUUAUUAAAAAAUCAUAAAAUAUGUAUACUUUUAUAUAUUUUAUUAAAUUUUAGCCAUUUAAUAAAUAAUAUAUAUUUUUAUUCACAGACUGAUUAAACUAGGUUGAACCUCUACGUGUCAACUAAAAAAUUUGACACUUUUUAUAAAGAUGAAAUAUAUAUAUAUAUAUAUAUAUAUAUAUAUAUAUAUAUAUAUAUAUAUAUAUAUAUAUAAAUUCCAGCUUAUAAUUCAGCUUUUCGAGAACUAGAAGACUGAUUUUUCUGGUCUGUCAGCAUCCAACCGCAGAAGAAUUUGACUUCUGAAAAAAAACCUAUUCUUCUUCAACUUAAACAAUAAAUUAUAUCUAUGUAUGUAAAAGGAACGAUUUAUUAUUGGAAAGAAAAUAAAGUGUUGUAGCUUGGUGAAAAAUUCACAACACUGUUGUAGAAAAAAGUAGCCCAGAAAUAUCGUAUUUUAAUUAUGAAUAGAAAACCAUGCUAUUUUUGUAAAUUUUUCCUAGAAUAUGCUAGCCGAGAAGAAAAACAGUGCUAAACAGGUAAAAAUUUCAAAACAGUGUCAUGAAAGCUGGCAACUUAUGGUUUGGUCCCGUCCUACUUUUUUUUUUUUCUUUUAACGGGAACCUCGCCCUACUUUCUUUCUUUAACAGGUCUAUAUGCCCAUACACAUUUUAAAUUUUUUUGAAAGUCUAAAACCGUGUAAAUCAACUCAAAACUGUGACUUCCAAAUAUAUAGAAAUUUGUUAACUCGUUCUUUUUAAAAAAUAAAUAAGUAUAACUUAAUGAAAAUAUAGAUUUCUUUUUAAUAAAAUUCUAAAUAACUCAAUAUUUUUUUUCUAAUUUAUGGUUAACUAUUGAACAUGAUAAUAUUUAUCAUUUAAAUAAGUAAAACAUUCUUUAUUAUCUUUAAAGUUAAUUUAUUCGUUAAAGUAACUAGAAUAUCUUUCCAUAUUAGGUUAUAUCUCUCUAACAAAAGAGAUGUUUCAAAAACUAUUACUUUAAACAUUUUUUUUUCUAGAUUCCUGGUAUACAAAAAGUCUUAUUUUCCUAACAACAGAAAGAAAGAAAAAAAAUCUUAAAACCGUAUUAUUUGUAAUGCUACAAUAUUUUGAAAAAAAAAACUUCAACUUGCCCAGACGCACUAAACAUUUGCUACAACUCUAUUAUUUUAUAAUUACACCUAGUUUAACUCAUAUGUUUUUCUCAUUAAUCAUGCAUUAAUGCUUUGUUUGAAUCAUAAAUUAGAUUUGAAGGAAUAAAUUUGAAAUGAUUUAUGGAGAAUUUUUUUUUAAAAUGAGAUGUUUUAGAUUAAGAUAAACAAAAUGAAAAAUGAAAAAAAAUUAUGAAAAAUUGUAAGUAAUAUGAAAUGUUUUUUAUAUUUAUUAUAUAUUAAAUUAGUUUUACAUAAAUUUAUUUAAUUUUUUAUUUUAUAAUAUAAUAUAAUUUAAUAUUAUUUUAUCUUUAUUAUAUUACAUUAUAUUAUAUAAUACUAUAUAAUCGAUUAUAUUUAACUAAUCAAUUAUAUAUAUAUAUAUAUAUGUGUGUGUGUGUUAUGCUUAUUUUUUAACAUAUAGUUGUUUAUAUAUGAAAUUUAUAAUAUAUAGUUAAUUAUAUAUAUAAUCAAUUAUAUUAUAUAUCAUAAUUAAAUUAAUAUAUUUUAAAAUUAAUUUAUAAUUUUAUUUAUAAUUUAAAAUUAAAAUUAUCAUAUUUAAAUUUUGUUUUGAAAGUUAUUGAUAUAUAAAAUAUAUUGAUAAUCGAUUUGAAUCGAUGAUAUAUUAAAAAAAUAUAUAAUCGAUUUGCUUCAACGUAAUUAUUAUCUUUCUAAAAUACUUUUUAUAAUUGAUUAUGUAUUAACGAUUAAUUGAUUAUUUCUCUAAAUUUUUUAUUAUCAUUUACUAUCUCUUAAACAAAAUUCAUAAUAGUAAGUAGAUAAUUAUAGCAUACAUAACUGUCUUUUCUUGUAAUUUAAACUAAAGAGCUAGGAAUCCUUUUUCUUUUUGCUUUCCUACGCUUCUCCUUUCUAACAUAGAAAGUGAAAUGAUUUCCAUAAAUGAAUCAGGAUGAAUAGUAUUUAUUUGCUUUAAGAUGGAGAAGUCAAAUUGUUUUGAAAGCUGCCAAAUUAGCAAGCAGAGAUCCAGCACAUAUUAUGGAGGAAUAAAUAAUUCAUUUCCACGAACCAAAUAAAAGGACCCUACCCUUCUCCGAAUGGUACACGGGAUUUGUCUUCUUGUCCCCAUGCCGUGUUGUUGUUAUCCGCGCCAUCUCUCCCCUUAGCUGGCCAUGCUCUGUCCCCACCAUUCACUCAAUGCCAACCUACAAAUCAAUUCCCUUCAAUUUCAUUACCACUCACACUAUCCCCAACUAUAUAUAUCCACCAACACUUCCCUCUUCUUCACCAACUACAUUUCCCUUCUUUCUCAAACAACAUCAACAAAUGGCCUCUCUUACAUCCUCAAGCCUUCUCCUCACUCUUCUUCUGGCUGUUUCCAUUCUUGGUUUCAGUUCAGCCAGGAAGCUCAGUGAGUCAGAUUCCCAGUUACAGUUCCAAUACCACAGAGGACCUCUCCUCACAGGCAAAAUCUCCGUCAACCUCAUUUGGUACGGCAACUUCAAACCUUCCCAGAAAGCCAUCGUCACUGACUUCAUCACCUCCCUCUCCUCUCCCAAACCCCUCACACCCCAACCAUCGGUUGCCACGUGGUGGAAAGCCACCCAAAAAUACUACAAAACCUCAUCCCCCAAACUCUCCCUCUCCCUUGGCUCUCAGAUCCUCGAUCAAAACUACUCCUUCGGCAAAUCACUCACCAGCGAUCAAAUCCUCAAGCUCGCAUCCAAGGGUCCUCAGAGAAACGCCAUCAACGUGGUUCUCACGUCUGCUGACGUGGCAGUGGAAGGCUUCUGCUCCAGCAGGUGCGGGACUCACGGCUCCUCCAUGGGGGCGCGCGUGAACGGGAAGAGGUACAAGUUCGCUUACGUGUGGGUGGGUAACUCCGAAAGCCAGUGCCCGGGGCAAUGCGCGUGGCCAUUCCACCAACCCAUUUACGGUCCCCAGAACCCAGCUCUGAUUGCGCCGAACAACGAUGUUGGUGUUGAUGGCAUGGUCAUCAACGUGGCUAGCCUCUUGGCUGGCACUGUCACUAACCCUUUCGGGAACGGAUACUUCCAGGGACCCAAAGAGGCUCCUCUCGAAGCUGCCUCCGCCUGCACCGGUGUCUACGGGAAGGGCGCCUACCCUGGCUAUGCAGGGAACCUCUUGGUGGACCCCACAACCGGUGCCAGCUACAACGCCAAUGGUGUCAACGGAAGGAAGUAUCUUUUGCCAGCUCUCUUUGACCCUAAAACCUCUGCUUGUUCAACCAUAGUCUAAAACCACCACUCAGCUUUCACUUUUCACCCUCUUUAGCUGUUAGGCAACACGAACAUUCUUUCAUUUCUUCAUUCAUUCGGCCAUGAUACAAGAGAAUUAUAGUGUUAACUAGUACGAUGCUUAGUUAUAAUAAACUUUUAUAUUGAGAUGUAUUAGAAACUAUAGCACAAUUAUAUUAAUAAUAUUUUGAUUGCUUUUUAUUUUAAUGAGUGUUUGCAGAAAUUAUAGCUGUCCACUUUACAAACAUGAAUAACUAAAAAGGUAGCCAACAGAAAACCUAAAUAAAUUUUCCCCACGGAAAAUGAGUUAAUAAAAAAAUAUACAUGUUUCAAAAUAAAGUAAGAAAAAAAUUAACCAUUACAAUGGCAACCACAUCAUUUAAAAAGCACACAAUCAAAUAUGAAAGCUUUUUUUUUUUAUCAUAUUGGGCUAGAUUUAAAACCUUAUUAUCAAAAUGAUGGGAUAGAUUUUUAAAACAUUGCGAGUUUGGAGAGAUAGUAUAAAUGUUACAUGACUUUAUUACUUUAUUGUGAGAAAGUAAUCAAUGACAAUUUUUUAUCACAUAAAAAAAAGUUGUGUUAAUGUGAUAAUUUUAGUCUAUGUUAAGUGGUGUUAAGGUGAUAUAAUUUGAAUUAUAUGUAAUUGACACGAUUUUAGUAAUAAGUAUAAAGUUAUCUCAACCUAACAUGAUUUUGGUUAAUAAAUUUUUUUUAAAGUUACACUUUAAGUUUUAUCACUUUAAUAAGACUUGAGUUUUAGUAUUUUUUUUUUUAAAAAAAAGUGUUUAUUUCUUUAUUUUUUUAAAAAUGGAAUUAUUAAUUUAACAAAUUUUAUAAAAUUAAGAAAAAAAAAUAAUUGAAAAAUGGUGUUAAAACCCUAAAUAUAAAAUGUAAAUUAAAAGCUUAAAAUAUAUAAAAAUGCCAAAAAAUAAUAAAAGUUAAACGGUUUAUUUUUUGAAAAUUUUGUAAACCCAAUUCUCCUUCGGAUAUUGGUUGUUGCAUUCCUUAUCUCAUUUUUAACGCGUUUCAAUCUGAACUCUAUCAAAAGUUAAGAUCAUAUGAAGUUUUUUCAUACAAAACUUUAUAAAAAUCAUCAAUUUCUUUCCUAUCCUGAUUUCUUUUACAAAAAUUUCUUAAUUUUAUACAAAUUUUCAAAUUAAUAAUUCAAUUAAUUAUUUCAAUUUUUUAAAAACCAAAAGAAAACAAACAUUUUUUUCAAAAAAUAAAUUCAGUGAAAUUGAAAGUGUAUCCUUAAAACAAAAUUCGUUAAUCAAAAUCGUACCUCCUUACAACAACUCCACUUUGAUAUGGUCAAAAUCAUGUCACCUAACAUGACUUACUGACAAUGAAGUCGUGUCACAUUGACACAACUUCUUCCAACUCAUAAUUUUUAAAACCAACCACAUUUCGAUAGUAAGCAUGUAAAAUUGUCCUAACAUAGUAAAAAAAACAAAUUAUGAAUAGUGAAAUUUUGUCUAAAAUGACUUUAUAAAAAGAUCGUACAACUUUGUUGAGAUUUGUAGUAUAACUUUAAUAAUUUUAAGUUUUUUUUUUCAUUAAAGGUAGAAGUUAUGUUUGUAAACAUCAUCUUAAGGUUUUUUCCUUUCAAAAAUGGAAUUAAAACAUGAUUUUAGAAUGUUUAUUUUUAUUUUAAAUUUAAUUAUAAAAUUCAUGAUUAAUACAUCAUUUCGUUAAUCUUCUUUACGUCACCUUCAGUGAAAACCAACUCCACAUUAGAACAGGAAAUCAACCAGAGAGAGUGUUCCUUGAGUAGUGAUCAACCUGAAAAAUGCACGUGGUUUCGAUUUCAAAAUGAAAACAUACUAUUGUUCUGCAAAUAAACUAAUCAGAAAAAUGAAAAGCAAUCUUGAGAAACUAAACAGAAGAAAGGAAAGAUAGAUGGAGCUUCAACUAAGAGAUGAAGAUUUUCUAGGGCUUGAGAUGCCUCCUCCGAAACUACGAAAGUGUGUAAAAAACAUUAAUGCCUCAUUCGAAACGAAACUGAAAAUAGUGGGAAACAAAAAACUUUCCUGCGACUCAAUAAAAAAUUGUGGAGAGAUAUCAGGAUUUUCCAAACAUCUGGUACUUGCGUGUUUAAUGAAGGUUAUUAUAACCUCUAAUAAAAAACCCCUCUUAAAAUUAAUUUUUUAGUGAUUAUUAACACAAAUUUAGUUUUUGUUUUCUAGGUUUUAGUUGACUUCAUGUUAGUAAGCACAAUUUUAAUAUAUUGUAAUACAUACUAAAUUACAGUAUUUGGAGUUAAUUUUUUGUCAUGUUUAGAACUUAAAAGUACACAAUAUUAUUGAAUAGAUAUAAAAAAGUUAUAUAUGAGAGUUUGUGUUAAUAUUUUUUGUUUUUAUUUUUGUGUGAGUAUUGUUUUUGUUAUAAUUCUUAUUAGGUAAGUCUUUGUUGUGUUGGUGUGGUAAGUGCUAGAAUAUUACGUGGAGGCUUGAAUUUCCUUUUCUAUGCUAUGACCAUGUACGUACUUUUUGUUAUUAUUAUCUUCCAUCAGUGUGGUUCUAUUAGUUUAUAAAUGCCUUUGAAUUGUGUACUUGGUAUUUUGUCAUGGAAGGGAUGCCAAAUAUAUUUGAUCGAGAUGGAAUAAUAUUAUACCUGUAAGGAACUUGUGAAAAUUGAUAUUUUCCAAGCUGGUUGUGACGAUAAUCCAUACAUUCAUAUAAUGGAAAAGGUUGAAAACUAGAGUAAUCCAUCAUAUUGUUUUUGAUGUAGAUGUAUAUUUGAUGAAGAGCCAACAAUUUUCCUCUAUUUUUUUAGUAUUGAGUGCUAAGGAUUUGUUUUUUGUUUUUCUAGGCAUCAUGCUAAAUAACCUUUUCAUGAACUUUAAAGAUCCAAUGAGCUCCUCAAUGUAAGCGCUAGAGGUCCAUAAACGCUAUUUGGGCUAUUUCUUGAGAUCUUCAUGAAGUAAGCACAAUUUUUAGAAUACUCUUCCAAAGGAGUUAAACUUCUUUAUAAUGACUUGGAAUCCGCAAAAAAAAAUGCUUGAAUGUUUUCAUUCUCCUUCAUGUUAAACAACUUAUAUUGGAGAGUCAAAAGAAUAACUUUAUUUCUCUUACUUCGUGUGUAUAACUAGUGUGUUCCACAUCUUUACACAUUUAAGUGCAUGAAUUUUUGCAUAUUCAUCUUUAGAGAUGUCACACAUGAGUAUUAGACACAUAGUUUUCAUUCUGUUAUUACAGUUACAUAUCACUGUUAUAUAUACAUGUAUCCCAUGCAUCCCAUGCAUCCUUCUCAACACAAUAACUUAUAUAUUCAGAUAUACUUUUCUCUUUCUCCUUUCUUUUAACAUGGUAUCCAGAGCUACCUCUUUUCCAUGACCUCUUCCGCUACCUCUCCUUCUACCCCUCCUUUAUCACCUUCUUCCUCUAUUUCUUCUCCUCCUUUGUUGCCAAUGGCGUCUCCUUCCUUACGCCAUUUUUCUAGUCCGAUUACCCUCAAACUUACAACUGAAAAUUUUAUGAUUUGGAAACAACAAAUUUUUGCUACUUUUCGUGGUCUUGAUCUCCUACAUCUCCUUGAUGGUACUCAUAUUCCAUAUGAGUUUCUCCCAUCUAAUGAUCAGGAUCAAGAACCCACCAUCAACCCAUUUUUUCUCCAUUAUCAUAAGCAAGACCAGUUUAUCGUCACCUGGUUGCUGGCCUCCAUGUCCUCCUCCAUCUUAACCAAAAUGGUUGGUUUAGACUCUUCUGCUGCUAUAUGGACACACUUAUCCACAUAUUACGCCUCCCAUACAAGGGCCACCAUCAAGAAACUUUGCCUUCUUCUUCGCACACCCAAGAAUUACAGAACCGUUGCAAACUACCUUUUUGAUAUCAAAAAGACUGUUGAUUCUCUAUCUGCCUUUGGUGCUUCCAUUUCUAACGUCGAACACAUAGAUGUCAUUCUUAAUGGUCUAUCGGAGGAAUAUGAUGAUUUCAUCAUUGCGGUUCUCUCGCGUUCUGAUCCCUACACUGCUGACGAACUGGAGUUUUUACUCCUUGCUCAAGAAGAAAGGUUUGAGAAACAUAAACUCAUUCAAAAUUCCGUCAUUCAAGCCAAUUAGGUUUCCACGCAAUGGUUUUCACCUCGUCCCACCAAGAAACCCAAUUUUCACACCAAAUCUUACUACGGUGGUCACAACCAGAGUCACCCAUCGUAUCCAAACUUUGUGCCUUUCUUUUCUGGACCAAGACCUAUCACUCGUCCUCUUUUCCGCCAUUCUGCACCUUGGAAUUCAAGUAAACCCCAUUGUCAUAUCUGCCACAAACAAGGGCACACUGUUGAUACCUGCUGUCAUAGGUAUGAUCCUCCUAUUGCUUGUUCGAUUACAGCUAACAUUUCUCAAUCUUCCAUCUCAGUCGGUGAUGAUUCUGCUCCAUCUAUUCUGGGUGCUCCAUCGACCAUCAAAGAUCCUCUUGGUACCCCAAUAGUGAUGCUACCAACCAUGUCACUAGCGACCCAUCUGUUUUUCACAACAAAUUAUCAUAGCUCCGAAUCUUUAAAGGUUGGCAACGAUCAAGGUAUGAAUAUUAUACACACUAGCUCUACUUUCUAUAUUGCACCACACACACACAUAAAGUUUCUUCUACAUCAUCUGUUACACGUACCACAUAUCACCAAAAACUUGAUUAGUGUUGCUCAAUUUACAAAAGAAAAUAAUGUUUAUUUUGAAUUUUAUCCUCACUCUUGUUUUGUUAAACAUCAGGACACUCAUCAGAUUCUCAUUCAAGGAAUAGUUAGAUAUUGUCUAUAUGUUUUUCCUUCUUCCCCUGAUUCACUCUCUUACACCGCUAAUCAUGCUUCAUACAAACCGAAUGUUCCUCCCUUACAACUCUAGCAUAACAGGCUUGGGCACAACAGUUUUGCUAUUGUUCAGCGUGUUUUAAAAUCUUGUAAUAUACAAUAUAACUCUCAGACUCAAUUUUGUAAUGCAUGUGUGAUCGAUAAGACACACCAACUUCCUUUUCAUGCUUUUGUUAACAGUUACACUCCACCUUUACAAUUGGUUUUUGGGGACCUUCACCUGUAUGUGCCUCCAAUGGUUCACGCUAUUAUAUCUCUUUCCUUAAAUGAAAGGGGGUCACCAUUUUCAAUAUCAUCUAUGGCCUCCCCUUGUUUUUUUCCGUGUAAAAUGACAUACCAAUGUUCUGACAUAGGAUCUUUGAUGUAGAAAACCUGAGAUGCUUGUUGAACCAUUAUAAAUGGCCCAUCUCGAUACCCUAUCUUUCGAAAGUCCACUAGUGUGAAUCCUGAUUCAGCAAUAAAUGGAACAGAAAACUUACUAUAGCCAACCUCCCAUAUCUCUUCUAUAAACUCAUAGUAUGCCAUUGAUCCAAGUACAAAAUUUGUAUCUUUCGAAGUGGAAAAUUGCAUUGACUCAGUUUCAAGAGUAACACUAGAAUUUUGAACUGUAUUCUUUUCAUCCAUAGACUUCGUGUAAAAUAUACAAUUGUUUACUUUGUACGCAGUACAAGAAAUGACAACAAACUUCAAUCCAACAACCAACAAGGUCAAGGUCUCUGAUGUCGUUGAAUCCUUUAACACCUCGUCUUUAAACCAAGGCAUGAAAGUUCUAUUAUGUUCCAUCAAGACCCAUUUCUCUGCUUGUCUUGGUUUAUAUGCCUUCAUAAUGGCUUUAUGAGCUUCUAUGUAAGGUAUAACUUCAUCUGUGUUAUUGUUGAACAAGCUGCUUUGAUGUCUUCAAAUCCAAGAGGAAAGCUUGAAGCCCUUGCUGCUGGGUGUGUGUGUGUUGUCUAGUUGUUUGAAACUUGUUAAUUCACUCCUUAAGUCGAUCCAAGUUCAUUUGAAUCUUAAACCUUUUGAAAAGAUGUAUCUUCUAAAAGGCUGUCAAAAAUUCAACAGGUUGUUUUACCUUAGCUGUUUUUGAAAAACUUGGUUGACUUUGUUGUCAAACCAAAACAAUCGAUUGUUUCGACAAAACAACCGAUUGUUUUCCUGCAAGCCUUAACAAAAUUCUGUUAAGCGGUUUUAAUAUGUUUUAAAUGAUCCUAACUAACUUGGCUCCUUUAUUAAAUGCUUUUGACCACUUGGUGGGUCUAUAUAAAUGUGGUUUUACGCUCCUAAUCUUGGAGUAACAGAAAGAGUUUAUCAAAACAGUUUUUCCAAGAUUUGAAAGAGCUUUGGAUCAUUCUUAAGUGUGUGGAAUAGGAUUGGGUUGUAAUUCUGAACUUUAAGCUUUGUAAUACCCAGGUGUAUUUUAUUCCUUUCUUCCUUGAUUACUGUAUUUCUGUAGUUGUGUUGCCAAGGAGUGUUGUGUGUUCUUGAGGUGUUCAAGAUCAACAUUCUUGGUAUGGUUUGCCAAAGGUAGUGUGUUUCAUGAGGGGUUCAAGGUCACCACUGUGGUGUGUGGUGUUUGUAAUCUGGUUUUGAUUGCAUAGUGGAAUACCCAGUGGUUUUUGGGGACUGGAUGUAGCUCUUGGUGUAAGAGUGAACCAGUAUAAAUUGCUUGCGUGCUUAUAUCUUACCCUUAACUCUUUAAAUUUUGUUUUUAAGUUGUUUUUAUAAACUGCUCAUAAAAACAACCAUUUGUUUCGACAAAACAACCGAUUGUUUUUCUGAUAUCAUCUUAAAACAGUUUUGGUUCUUUGUUUUCUUGAUUCUUUUCUCUGUAAUUCAGCAUUGAUUUUUCAUUAUACCUUCAAAGUUUGCAAAAAUCCCUCUUAAACAAUUCACCCCCUCUCGUUUAAGGCCAUAUAUUCUAACAAUUCAAUAUAUACAAAUGUGCUUGCAAGACUUUUGAUCGAGAUUUGCUUACAAUAUUCACACCACGUAAACAUUUACUUGUAGAACGCUUGUGGUGCCAUGAAUUAGCUGGAAGACCUAUUGGAUUUUCUUUUGACAUGUACUCUGAACAAAAUUGAAUACUUUCUUCAGCUAUGUAGUUUUCAAUCAUUGAAGCUUCUAGACGAUAAUGAUUUUUCACAUAACCUUUCAAACUUUUCAUAUACUGCUCAACAAGAUGCAUCCAUCUUAAGUACACUGGUCCACACAAUCUAACCUCUCUUACCAUAUGCACAACUAGAUGAACCAUGAUGUCAAAAAAAGAUGGAGGAAAAACCAUCUCCAAUUCACACAACAUAACAACAAUUUCAUCUUCAAGUUCAUCUAGUUUUAAUGGAUCAAUGACUUUACAACAGAUGAAAGAGAAGAAUGAGCACAAAUGGGUUAUGGUAUGUCUAACAUUUUUUAGUAAGAUCCCACGAAUAACUACCGGUAGCAACUGUUGCAUCAAGAUGUGGCAAUCAUGAGACUUCAACCCAAUUAAUGUCAAAUCUUGCAUUGACACUAGGCUCUUCAUAUUUGAGGAAUGUCCUUGUGGAACUUUCACACCUUUUAGACAUUGAAAAAAACUUAUUUUUUCAUAUUUUGACAUGGUGAAACAGGUUGGGGGCAAAUAUGUACACUUACCCAUUUCUAUGGGUGCCCGCUCGCAUCUUAUGUUCAUCUCAAUCAAAUCUAAACGAGCAUUUAGACCAUCCAUCAUCUCAAUCAUAUGUUAAGAAGUGUACCAAUUAAGUUAUCACAUACAUUCUUCUCAACAUGCAUUACAUCUAUACAAUGGCUAACUUCUAACCUCGACCAAUAGGAAAGAUCAAAGAAGAUUGAUUUUUUCUUCCAAAUGUUUGUCACAGAUGACUUUUUUUUCGACUUAUCGAAGGUAUGAUCUAUGUUAUUUACCUUUUCGUACCACAACACCGGUUAAUAGAGUUGGUGGACUUGUUGAACAAGAUGCUUUGAUGUCUCCAAAUCCAAGAGGAAAGCUUGAAGACCUUGCUACUAGGUGUGUGUGUGUGUUGUCUAGUUGUUUGAAACUUGUUAAUUCACUCCUUAAGAUGAUCCAAGUUCAUUUAAAUCUUUAACCUUUUGAAAAGAUAUGUUUUCUGAAAAGCUGUCAAAAAUUCUACAGGUUGUUUUACCUUAGCAGUUUUUGAAAAGGUUUUGAAGAACUUGGUUGACUUUGCUGUCAAACCAAAACAAUCGAUUGUUUCGACAAAACAACUGAUUGUUUUCCUGCAAACCUUAACAGAAUUCUGUUAAGCGGUUUUAAUAUGUUUUAAAUGAUCCUAACUGACUUGGCUCCUUUAUUAAAUGCUUUUGACCACUUGGUUGGUCUGUAUAAAGGUGGUUUUACGCUCCUAAUCUUGGAGUAACAGAAAGAGUUUAUCAAAACAGUUUUUCCAAGAUUUGAAAGAGCUUUGGAUCAUUCUUAAGUGUGUGAAAUAGGAUUGGGUUGUAAUUCUGAACUUUAAGCUUUGUAAUACCCAGGUGUAUUCUAUUCUCUUCUUCCUUGAUUACNNNNNNNNNNNNNNNNNNNNNNNNNNNNNNNNNNNNNNNNNNNNNNNNNNNNNNNNNNNNNNNNNNNNNNNNNNNNNNNNNNNNNNNNNNNNNNNNNNNNGUUGUGUUGCCAAGAAGUGUUGUGUGUUCUUGAGGUGUUCAAGAUCAACAUUCUUGGUGUGGCUUGCCAAAGGUAGUGUGUUUCUUGAGGGGUUCAAGGUCACUACUUUGGUGUGUGGUGUUUGUAAUCUGGUUUUGAUUGCAUAGUGGAAUACCCAGUGGUUUAUGGGGACUGGAUGUAGCUCUUGGUGUAUGAGUGAACCAGUAUAGAUUGUUUGUGUGCUUAUCUCUUACCCUUAACUCUUUAAAUUCUGUUUUUAAGUUGUUUUUAUAAACUGCUGAUAAAAACAUCCGAUUGUUUUCACUAAACAACCGAUUGUUUUUCUGAUAUCAUCUUAAAACAGUUUUGGGUAUUUGUUUCCUUGAUUCUUUUCUCUGCAAUUCAGCAUUGAUUUUCAUUAUACCUUCAAAGUUUGCAAAAAUCCCUUUUAAACAAUUCACCCCCCAUCUCAUUUAAGGCCAUAUAUUCUAACAAUUGGCAUCAAGAGCUUGGUUCUUGAAAGUUAUUCAAGUUUUGAUCCUAAAUCUUUGUUAAAUGGUUGAAAAGUUUUCUUUUGGGGAGGGUGCCUGUUUAAGCAAACCACCUUUGUUCUAUGGUAUGAAAUAUGAAUUGUGGUGCAUAAGAAUGAAAUUCUUUGUUGAAUAUAUAGAGAGAAAAAUCUGGAAUGUUAUUACAAAUAGCUAUCUCAUGCCUAUAUCUGAAAAUGUUUCUUCUGAAAGAGAACAUCUUGAUUGUGUAGUUAUGAACAUCAUUGUAUCUGCACUUGAUUCUAAUGACUUUCUCAAAGUUUCAGAAUGUAGUUCUUCCAAAGAAAUGUGGAAUACCCUUGAAGAGUAUCACAAGAAUCCAAGGAGUGCCUUGAUGGACAAAGAAGAAUCUUCUGCUGAAUCUUUCUCUUCAAAAUCCAAAAAGGAGGUUUGGAUCAAGUCAAGCAAGAAGGAAAAGAAAGCAAAAUAAAAAAGAAGCCAAUCUGUGUUUGAUGGCCAAAGAAGAAGAUGAUGCAAGUAGUGUAAGUUCUUGUACUUCUUUAAAUGCUGAAAAUUAUAGUAAACUUCUUCAAGCCUUUAAUGAAACUCAUAAGGAAGCUAAUAGGUUGGCCCUUUUAAAUAAACGGUUGAAAGGUUUAAACAAAUCAUUGGAAAAUAGAGUCAAGACUUUGGAAGAAGAGUUGAACCAUUCAAAAACAGAUUUUGAAAGUUUGGAAAUGAUUUACAAAAACUCUUCUUGCAAGUGUGAUUCUAGCUUUUGUGAAAAUUGUGAAUCACUUGAAAAGAAAGUCCACUACCUUUUAAAAACCAUGGACAAGUUUUCCAAAGACCAAUCCAAUCUUGAAACUGUUCUUGCUUCUCAUAAAUGUGUUUUUGGCAAGGCUGGGUUGGGGUUUAAUCCAAACAGUAAGAACAAAGCUGUUUCAAAACCCUUUUCAAGUUUCUUUGAAAAACAACCUGUUUUAUCGAAACAACCGAUUGAAAUUUGUCAUUACUGCAUGAAAAGGGGCCACACUAUUAGAUUCUGCAAAGUAAAAAGGUUUUCUGUUCCUAAAGGUAUUUUGAAAUGUGUUCCUAAGGUUUCUAAGGUUCCUACUAACAUCAUUGGACCCAAAUUCAUAAGGGGACCAAAUCUUGCUUCUUAAUCUUUUGUUGUAGGUAUCCUUGGCAGCCAAGAAUCAGUUUUGGACUUGAAGAGUGACUGCUAAAGGGAAAACCAUCAAAAGCAAAGUUUGUCUAUAUGCCUGUACUUUCAAUUGUAUAUGUCUUGCAAGGUUCUUUGAAUGUCAAGAGACAUCCUUGGCACAUGCAUAGUGUUGAUCAAAAGAGAAACCUCAAAGAAAGUAUGUGUGUUUGAUGAAAUCAUUCAUAGUGGUCAAAGUUCUACAAAGGUUUAUGUAGAAGAAGAUGAGCAGAACAUCAUUGGAUGCAAAUGGGUUUUUCAUAAACAAGUUGUAUGAAUCUGGAGUAAUUACAAGGAACAAGGCAAGGCUUGUGGCUAAAGGUUAUAAUCAAGAAGAAGGCAUAGAUUAUGGUACAACCUUUGCUCUAGUUGCAAGAUUAGAGGUUGUAAGGUUGUUGUUGGCCUAUGCUUGUUUGAGUGGAUUCAAAUUGUUUCAAAUGGAUGAUAAAAGUGAUUUCCUUAAUGGAAUCAUCAAUGAGGAAGUCUAUGUUGAAGAACCAUCGGGCUUUGAAGAUCAUCAACAUCCUAACCACGUAUACAAGCUGAAAAAGGCCUUGUAUGGUCUUAAGCAAGCUCCAAGGCAGUGUGAAGAAAGAAUAUUUCUACCAAAUCCACCUCUUGAGUAAUCAUUUGACCAACUUGAAUUGCUGGAUGAAGAAAAGAUAAGGGGAGAAAUUGUGGUCUCCUUGCUAAAAAUUUUGGGGUCUAUGGUACUUUGAUUCUACUGCUAUCAUAGCUCUGAUACACCAUAGAUUUUUGCUGCAAUUUUGAUAUGGUAUCACAGGUUUGUUGCUGCAAUAGUGUUGCUACACAUACUGGUAUUCUGGUUUUUCUUAAUCCUGAUUUUAUCCCUUCUUUCAUUCUAUUUGAGAAGACAAAUAGGGGGAGAAUGGUGUGGUUUUAUGUGUUGUAUUAUUGCAGCUACAUUUGGUGUUAUCUGGUUUUAUCAUGAUUUAAAUUCUGCUAUUGCCAUGCUCUUAUUCACCAUAGUUCUGUUGCACACAAGUCUCAUUUUGGCACUAGUUUUUAUGGUUAUUUGACUAGUUUUUCUGCUUAAAGACUUAUGCAGAAAACUGGUUUUGUGUGCCUUGGUAUCCUGCUAGUAUACUUGCUUUGUAUAUGCACAAAUUCUGUUUUGUAGGACCUUUCAAGUUCAAAAACAACAACACAAACAAACCAGGGAUUUGUCUUCAUCAAAUAGGGGGAGAUUGUUGAACAAGAUGCUUUGAUGUCUCCAAAUCCAAGAGGAAAGCUUGAAGACCUUGUUUUUGGGUGUGUGUGUGUUGUCUAGUUGUUUUGAAACUUGUUAAUUCACUCCUUAAGAUGAUCCAAGUUCAUUUGAAUCUUUAACCUUUUGAAAAGAUGUGUUUUCUAAAAAGCUGUCAAAAAUUCAACAGGUUGUUUUACCUUAGAAGUUUUUGAAAAGGUUUUGAAAAACUUGGUUGACUUUGCUGUCAAACCAAAACAAUCGAUUGUUUCGACAAAACAACCGAUUGUUUUCCUGCAAACCUUAACAAAAUUCUGUUAAGCGGUUUUAAUAUGUUUUAAAUGAUCCUAACUAACUUGACUCCUUUAUUAAAUGCUUUUGACCACUUGGUUGGUCUGUAUAAAGGUGGUUUUACGCUCCUAAUCUUGGAGUAACAGAAAGAGUUUAUCAAAACAGUUUUUCCAAGAUUUGAAAGAGCUUUGGAUCAUUCUUAAGUGUGUGAAAUAGGAUUGGGUUGUAAUUCUGAACUUUAAGCUUUGUAAUACCAAGGUGUAUUCUAUUCCCUUCUUCCUUGAUUACUGUAUUUCUGUAGUUGUGUUGCCAAGGAGUGUUGUGUGUUCUUGAUGUGUUUAAGAUCAACAUUCUUGGUGUGGUUUGCCAAAGGUAGUGUGUUUCUUGAGGGGUUCAAGGUCACUACUUUGGUGUGUGGUGUUUGUAAUCUGGUUUUGAUUGCAUAGUGGAAUACCCAGUGGUUUCUGGGGACUGGAUGUAGCUCUUGGUGUAAGAAUGAACCAGUAUAGAUUGUUUGUGUGCUUAUAUCUUACCAUUAACUCUUUAAAUUCUGUUUUUAAGUUGUUUUUAUAAACUGCUCAUAAAAACAACCGAUUGUUUUUCUGAUAUCAUCUUAAAACAGUUUUGGGUAUUUGUUUCCUUGAUUCUUUUCUCUGCAAUUCAGCAUUGAUUUUCAUGCGCUUCUUCAAAAGACUCAGCUCCCACAUCACGAAUCAUGUCCUUCAAUCGAUCAUCAUCUACAUCAUCAUUUAUUGCAUCAUCCAUGUUAGACCUCACAUAUUCUUCAGUUACGGAAACACGUGGUAAAUUUAAUAAUUCACCAUGCCAUGUCCAAGUUGUAUAAGAUUGAAGAAACCCAUCACACAGAAGGUUCUUCAUGAUUAUCUUAACAUCCAGUAUCCUUCCAUUCAAACAGUUAACACACAGAUACCUAAUCUUUUCUCCAUCAUGACCAGUAUUAUUCGCGUUACGCUGCACAAAUUAUAUAAAUUCUUCUACUCCUCUUUCGUACUCAUCACUCAUGAGAACAAAAUUAAUCCAAUUUCAAUCCAUUAUAUUUUGUAAUAGUCAUUCAGGUGUUUUCUAAUAAGUGUUCUAUCUCACGCGUUUGCCGAGGGUCGAACACCCCCGGACUCUGUACCAUCGCGUAUCAAUUAUCGAGGGUCGAACACCCUCGAACUCAAUACCAACACAAUAAUUCUAUUCUAAACUAACAACUAACAUAAUAUAAAUUAAUAAUAAAUACAAAUUAAAUAAAUACUAAAUAAUAUAAAUUUAAAAAAUACAAAUUAUAAUAAAUAAAAAAUAAACAAAUUCAUAUGAUUAAAAAGAUCAAAAAAAUUUAAAACACCACCAACCUUGUGCGUGAAGGCAACAUUGGUGAAGAGUGGCACGGGACCGACAGCAACAGCGGACACAGCAGCAACAAAGGAGCAAAGUAAAACCCACACAAGAAGCGACAAGGGCAAUGAAACAGUACUUCGAGCAAUGUAAGAAAACAAACCAAGUAAGAGAAACGAAAAAGAUUUAUAAACCAUUGGUGAAGAAGAAAGAGAGCUUGAACAAACUUACAAUGGCACAACAACACAAUGAAGCUCGCAGAAGAAGAGAGGAACACCAGAGCAGGAACAGAGCAAAGCGCAAAGAAGAGAAAGAAAAUAUGAAAAUGUAAGUGGCGCGCUUUAGAGUUAGGGUAAAAAAUGAUUUAAGAAUGCAACUAUUUGUAAUAGUUGCAUUCUUAAAAUCAUGCAUUUUGAUUUAAGAAUUGCAUUAAUUUAAGAAUGCAACUAUUAAAAUAAUUACAUUCGUAAAUGAAGUUAAUUUAAAAAAUGUCACCACGUUUUAAAUAAAUGCAUUUAACCGUAAAAGCACAUUAAAUAAAUAUUCGUUGUUUUUUUAAUUUUCGGUUCCUUCACAUAAAAACUGUACAAAAGAAAUAUGUGAAGUAACGAACAUGCAUUUGAGAAAUUCAUGCCUGCAUGUUGAAAUUGGAAGGAUGGAUCAAUUGCAAAUAUUGUAGACCCCAUUAAUCAACGGUUCUCGAAAGGAAAUAAUGAGAUGUAUCCACAUUGGGUGAGUAUGUGUUCAAGAAUGGGUGAGUAUGUGUUCAAGAAGAUAGGGAUGUCAGACCAACCAUGGCUACUGUUGUACUCAUGCUUAAUAGUUAUUCUCUCACUCUCCCAUUGCCUUCAGAACCUACAUUUGUUGUGGAUAGUAGCACAAGAAGCUUUCCAAACAUGUUGGCAUGGGAGCAUAAUUAAAGGGAAAGUGGAUCGAGUGAAACCACAAACAAAUAAAGUCAAUAUUCAGUAAAUGAGGAGGCUUCAAUUAUUGAGUCAUACUCUAGCUAAUUUGAUAUAACAUGGGUAAUUUGAGACUUAAGUUACAUGUUUCUACGUAUAAUGAAAAAUUAAUUGUGCUUGUCUUGUUUUUUAAGGGCUUCCAAUCAAUGGAACUUUUUAAUUAAAAUUAUUCUUAUAGUAUAUUGAUAUUAACUUUAAGAUCAAUCCAUUUAACACUACAAAAAAACUAAUAUAUUAAGAUAGCAUAAAAUUUAACAUAUCAUUCAUAGUUGUUACCAUUAUAUAAGUUAUCUAAACUAAAAAUAUCAAACUCUUAUACUAAUAUUUUAACAUUAUGUGUAUCAUUAAUCACUCAGUCAAUGACAUAGUCUUUCUUGAAAUUGUUUUAUCACAUACAACUUAUCUCUUACGAAUGGAUAACUAAUACCAAUCAUAAGUUGUGUAUGAAAUUCACGACUUCAAUAUAAAAUAAUAUCAUUAAAGUUAGAUACGAGUGACACAAGUUCAAUUAUAUUAAUUUACACUAAGUCGUGUUUCAAUAAUAUGACUUUAAUUAUCAAUAAUCACUUAGUCAAGCAAAUUUGUGUCUCACUUUUUUUUAUUGUUUUUGAAACAAAAUUAUGUAUGUAUAACAUGAUUAUAAUAUGAUUAUAAUAUGGACCGACAUUAACAUAAAUACUGAAGUAGUGUUGGUACUAAAGGACUUCUUCAUAUGAAAAUAAAAAAAUUGUGAAACAACUUAUCCAUUUUAGUAAAUAAAAAAAGUUAUUCAUUAGAUUAAUAAUAAUAAUAAUAAUUGGUGCAAAACCUCUCUUGUGAGUGAUACUUGAAAGUUUAAUAUAUUUGUAAGGAAGUAAAUUUUCACCUUUAGUUAUUUAAGGACUGCAGUUCGAAUGGUUAGUCUCAAUAAGAAGCAAUUCUAAUCUAUCAUGGAUUUAUUAGAAGUGAUUUUUAUCGUGAUGACACUUCUAUACAGUUCAGACUCGGAUAGAUGAAUUUUUAGAAUACUUAACCAAGAGGCCGAUCCAUUGAUGGUCAUUGUAUUCCGUCCCAACUAUAAUCAGAAAAAAAGUGAUCUUGGCUUUCACAAAUUACAAAAUGAACACGGGUUUCUCCAAUGGUCCCGCUGGACAGCUAUCCAUGCCCUGUCUCCGCGUAACUUUGCGACUAUACAAAAACAUUUUUCAAUUAUUCGCUCCAAACUCCAAAACCUUGCCGCACAAUUUGGUUAACUAUAGCACAAGAGAAACGCGUUAUCAAGCUGCCACUUAGCUCCACUCCACUCACCAUCCCUCAUAAUUCUUCACUUCAUCAAUACGCCUUCUCCCUUCAAUCACCACCCUCACUAUANNNNNNNNNNNNNNNNNNNNNNNNNNNNNNNNNNNNNNNNNNNNNNNNNNNNNNNNNNNNNNNNNNNNNNNNNNNNNNNNNNNNNNNNNNNNNNNNNNNNCAAAUGGCCUCUCUUACAUCCUCAAGCCUUCUCCUCACUCUUCUUCUGGCUGUUUCCAUUCUUGGUUUCAGUUCAGCCAGGAAGCUCAGUGAGUCAGAUUCCCAGUUACAGUUCCAAUACCACAGAGGACCUCUCCUCACAGGCAAAAUCUCCGUCAACCUCAUUUGGUACGGCAACUUCAAACCUUCCCAGAAAGCCAUCGUCACUGACUUCAUCACCUCCCUCUCCUCUCCCAAACCCCUCACACCCCAACCAUCGGUUGCCACGUGGUGGAAAGCCACCCAAAAAUACUACAAAACCUCAUCCCCUAAACUCUCCCUCUCCCUUGGCUCUCAGAUCCUCGAUCAAAACUACUCCUUCGGCAAAUCACUCACCAACGAUCAAAUCCUCAAGCUCGCAUCCAAGGGUCCUCAGAGAAACGCCAUCAACGUGGUUCUCACGUCUGCUGACGUGGCAGUCGAAGGUUUCUGUUCAAGCAGGUGCGGGACUCACGGUUCCUC